rnacentral:rRNA from 1 species
UACGUAGGGGGCAAGCGUUGUCCGGAAUCAUUGGGCGUAAAGCGCGUGUAGGCGGCCAUGUAAGUCCGUUCUGAAAGCCCGGGGCUCAACCCCGGGAGGCGGAUGGAUACUGCAUGGCUCGAGUACGGAAGAGGCGAGUGGAAUUCCCGGUGUAGCGGUGAAAUGCGCAGAUAUCAGGAGGAACACCAAUGGCGAAGGCAGCUCGCUGGGACGGUACUGACGCUGAGGCGCGAAAGCGUGGGGAGCAAACAGG